GAUGAACGCUAGCGGCAGGCCUAAUACAUGCAAGUCGGACGGGAUUGAGAAGCUUGCUUUUCAUGAGAGUGGCGCACGGGUGCGUAACACGUAUGUAACCUACCUUAAUCAGGGGGAUAGCCUCUCGAAAGAGAGAUUAACACCGCAUAAAAUCAAUUUAUGGCAUCAUAGAAUGAUCAAAUAUUUAUAGGAUUAAGAUGGGCAUGCGGAACAUUAGCUAGUUGGUAAGGUAACGGCUUACCAAGGCUACGAUGUUUAGGGGAUCUGAGAGGAUGACCCCCCACACUGGUACUGAGACACGGACCAGACUCCUACGGGAGGCAGCAGUAAGGAAUAUUGGUCAAUGGGCGCAAGCCUGAACCAGCCAUGCCGCGUGCAGGAAGACGGCCCUACGGGUUGUAAACUGCUUUUGUACCGGAAUAAACCUUUGUAUGUAUACGAAGCUGAAUGUACGGUAAGAAUAAGGAUCGGCUAACUCCGUGCCAGCCGCCGCAGUAA
rnacentral:rRNA from 1 species